GACGAACGCUGGCGGCGUGCUUAACACAUGCAAGUCGAACGGAAAGGCCCUGCUUUUGUGGGGUGCUCGAGUGGCGAACGGGUGAGUAACACGUGAGUAACCUGCCCUUGACUUUGGGAUAACUUCAGGAAACUGGGGCUAAUACCGGAUAGGAGCUCCUGCUGCAUGGUGGGGGUUGGAAAGUUUCGGCGGUUGGGGAUGGACUCGCGGCUUAUCAGCUUGUUGGUGGGGUAGUGGCUUACCAAGGCUUUGACGGGUAGCCGGCCUGGGAGGGUGACCGGCGCCUGGGGGACUGGGGUCGGCCCCGGUGCCGAAGGGGGGAAAAGGGGGGGAAUUUUGGCAAAGUGGGGGAAGGUGUGUGGAGGAGGCCCGGCGGGGGGGAGGCCGGCUUGUGGUUAGAAAACCUCUUCCGCUGGAGACAAAGCUGGAGAGAGGGUAAGGGAAAAAUAAGCACCGGCUAACUGCGUG
rnacentral:rRNA from 1 species